AGUGAACGCUGGCGGUAGGCCUAACACAUGCAAGUCGAACGGCAGCACAGUAAGAGCUUGCUCUUACGGGUGGCGAGUGGCGGACGGGUGAGGAAUACAUCGGAAUCUACUUUUUCGUGGGGGAUAACGUAGGGAAACUUACGCUAAUACCGCAUACGACCUACGGGUGAAAGCAGGGGAUCUUCGGACCUUGCGCGAUUAAAUGAGCCGAUGUCGGAUUAGCUAGUUGGCGGGGUAAAGGCCCACCAAGGCGACGAUCCGUAGCUGGUCUGAGAGGAUGAUCAGCCACACUGGAACUGAGACACGGUCCAGACUCCUACGGGAGGCAGUAGUGGGGAAUAUUGGACAAUGGGCGCAAGCCUGAUCCAGCCAUACCGCGUGGGUGAAGAAGGCCUUCGGGUUGUAAAGCCCUUUUGUUGGGAAAGAAAAGCAGCAGGUUAAUACCCCGCUGUUCUGACGGUACCCAAAGAAUAAGCACCGGCUAACUUCGUG
rnacentral:rRNA from 1 species